AUGAAGCUGGAUUCGCUAGUAAUCGCGCAUCAGCCACGGCGCGGUGAAUACGUUCCCGGGCCUUGUACACACCGCCCGUCAAGCCAUGGAAGCCGGGGGUGCCUGAAGUGCGCUGCCGCAAGGAGCGUCCUAGGGUAAAACCGGUGACUGGGGCUAAGUCGUAACAAGGUAUC
rnacentral:rRNA from 1 species